UGUGGCAGAUUAGUGCGAUGAAUUUAAGCUUCAUAUAUAAAGAUAUGGCUUUUAUUAGAAA
rnacentral:tRNA from 1 species